rnacentral:sRNA from 1 species
CCAAAAUCGAUCAAAAACUUCAGUAGCUAAGGAGGGUCUGGAAUUGCUCAGAGGCCGAAAUUUUUGUCAUGACACAUAAACCAAUAUUUUUCCAUACAAACUGAUUAACAAGCUUUAUUAUAGCCCUUCCCGAGGAUGCAGAAUACACAAAUGUCUAACAUAGUGACUAAAACGUACAACAAAUUGUAUUGUAAAUUAUGUAAUGAGACAAAAAGGUGGGUAAACGUAGAGGACAACAGGACGCAGACAAAUUUGUACAACAGGACAGUGCCGAAGGCAAACAUAACAAUUUCAAAAGAGCAAAGAACUUUCUUACCUUUUUCGGUUUCUUCAAUGACACAGUACGCGAAUACUGAUGAUAAACCUGAACAUGAUUCGAAGUGAAUUUGCCCAACAUGGAGAAGGCCGAUUGUGUGUGUUCACCCGACUCCUAAUUAUUGCACGUUAUGAAGAUAUGUCCAAAAAAAGAGCACUGAAAUUAAAAUCAAAUAAAAAACAUUUUUAUUAUUAUACAUGAGAUAAAUAUUAGUA